GUGCUUGCUUUGUUAGCAUAAAUACUAAAAUCAGAACGAUAGAGAGAUUAUUACCAUGGAUCCAGUGCAAGGGUGACAGGCAGAUCUGUGAUGUGUUCCAGAUUUAA